GCGUCGAGCGGCGGACGGGUGAGUAAUGCCUGGGAAAUUGCCCUGAUGUGGGGGAUAACCAUUGGAAACGAUGGCUAAUACCGCAUAAUAGCUUCGGCUCAAAGAGGGGGACCUUCGGGCCUCUCGCGUCAGGAUAUGCCCAGGUGGGAUUAGCUAGUUGGUGAGGUAAGGGCUCACCAAGGCGACGAUCCCUAGCUGGUCUGAGAGGAUGAUCAGCCACACUGGAACUGAGACACGGUCCAGACUCCUACGGGAGGCAGCAGUGGGGAAUAUUGCACAAUGGGCGCAAGCCUGAUGCAGCCAUGCCGCGUGUAUGAAGAAGGCCUUCGGGUUGUAAAGUACUUUCAGCAGUGAGGAAGGUGGUGUACUUAAUACGUGCAUCAUUUGACGUUAGCUGCAGAAGAAGCACCGGCUAACUCCGUGCCAGCAGCCGCGGUAAUACGGAGGGUGCGAGCGUUAAUCGGAAUUACUGGGCGUAAAGCGCAUGCAGGUGGUUUGUUA
rnacentral:rRNA from 1 species